UGCUCUAUUUUUGAGUCAUAAGGAUAUAGUGUGAGCCACGGCGCCUGGCCCAACUUUUUGUUGAAAUGAGCUUUGAAGGAUAAGUAAGAAUUAAAGUGGCAGAAUGGAAGAGAACCAGUUAGAAGGUAAUUGCAGUAGUCUAGGGAAAUGAACAUGAUAAAUUGAGCCAUCUUUUGAGCCAAAGGGUAAUAAAGGCAGAAGUAGAUGGAUUUGAGGGAUCUUUAGGAGGUAAAGAUGGGAAUUUAAAAUACUGGGUACGGGUAGUAAGGUAGGUUUCUGGUCUGUGCAACCAUGACUAUCCAGAUAGGAGAUGCUGGAGAAUGAUUACCAGUUUGUGUAUGUGCACAUGUGGUAGUGGGAUAGGGAUGGGGGAACUGGAGAGUCUACCAAGAAAAGCUAUGGAUUAAGCAGGGAGAUAUACAGACCAAGAGUUCAAAGGUGACAUCUUGCCCAGAGAUAUGAGAGACAUAAGCAUAUAAUUUAUUGAAGAAAAUAAUGAAUAAUAAUUGAGGUGAUGUAUUGGAAUUAAACAUCCUUGAAAAGAAAGUAUAGAAUGAAAAGAAGGUCUAGGACCAAAGUGAACUUCAAUUAAAGGGGUG
rnacentral:lncRNA from 1 species